GAAUUUUAUAUAAAUUUAAUUUAAGGUUUAGUAUAAAAUUUAUUAAGUUUAUAUUUUAUUGGGAGGAUAGUUAAAUUAUAUAAACUUUAAAAUUAGUUAAUCCAUUAAUUUAUGAAUUAGAAAUUAAGGAGUAAAAAAAAUUUUAAAUAGAAUUAAUUACCUUAGGGAUAACAGCGUUAUAUUUUUAGAGAGACCUUAUUGAUAAAAAUGAUUGC
rnacentral:rRNA from 1 species